ACGCACGCUGGCGGCGUGCUUAACACAUGCAAGUCGAACGGAAAGGCCCUGCUUUUGUGGGUGCUCGAGUGGCGAACGGGUGAGUAACACGUGAGUAACCUGCCCUUGACUUUGGGAUAACUUCAGGAAACUGGGGCUAAUACCGGAUAGGAGCUCCUGCUGCAUGGUGGGGGUUGGAAAGUUUCGGCGGUUGGGGAUGGACUCGCGGCUUAUCAGCUUGUUGGUGGGGUAGUGGCUUACCAAGGCUUUGACGGGUAGCCGGCCUGAGAGGGUGACCGGCCACAUUGGGACUGAGAUACGGCCCAGACUCCUACGGGAGGCAGCAGUGGGGAAUAUUGCACAAUGGGCGGAAGCCUGAUGCAGCAACGCCGCGUGCGGGAUGACGGCCUUCGGGUUGUAAACCGCUUUCGCCUGUGACGAAGCGUGAGUGACGGUAAUGGGUAAAGAAGCACCGGCUAACUACGUG
rnacentral:rRNA from 1 species